GACGAACGCUGGCGGCGUGCUUAACACAUGCAAGUCGAACGGUGAAGCACCUUCCUUUUGGUGGGUGUGGAUGAGUGGCGAACGGGUGAGUAACACGUGAGUAACCUGCCCCCUUCUUCUGGAUAACCGCAUGAAAGUGUGGCUAAUACGGGAUAUUCUGGGUCUGUCGCAUGGCGGGCCUGGGAAAGAUAUUGUUUCGGUGGGGGAUGGGCUCGCGGUCUAUCAGCUUGUUGGUGGGGUGAUGGCCUACCAAGGCGGUGACGGGUAGCCGGCCUGAGAGGGUGGACGGUCACACUGGGACUGAGACACGGCCCAGACUCCUACGAGAGGCAGCAGUGGGGAAUAUUGCACAAUGGGCGCAAGCCUGAUGCAGCGACGCCGCGUGAGGGAUGGAGGCCUUCGGGUUGUAAACCUCUUUCGCCAGUGAAGCAGGCCUGUCCCUUUUGUGGGUGGGUUGACGGUAGCUGGAUAAGAAGCGCCGGCUAACUACGUG
rnacentral:rRNA from 1 species